rnacentral:rRNA from 1 species
GUGGUAGGGGAGCGUUCUGUAAGCCGAUGAAGGUGGAUUGAGAAGUCUGCUGGAGGUAUCAGAAGUGCGAAUGCUGACGUGAGUAACGACAAAACGGGUGAAAAACCCGUUCGCUGAAAGACCAAGGGUUCCAGUCCAACGUUAAUCGGGGCUGGGUGAGUCGACCCCUAAGGCGAGGCCGAGAGGCGUAGUCGAUGGGAAAUUGGUUAAUAUUCCAAUACUUCAGUGUAAUGCGAUGAGAGGACGGAGAAGGUUAAGUCAGCCUGGCGUUGGUUGUCCAGGUGGAAGGCUGUAGGCAUGCAUCUUAGGCAAAUCCGGGGUGCUCUAUGCUGAGAGCUGAUAGCAAGCUAGUUUACUAGCGAAGUGGCUGAUACCAUGCUUCCAGGAAAAGUCUCUAAGCUUCAGUUACACUGGAAUCGUACCCGAAACCGACACAGGUGGUCAGGUCGAGUAGACCAAAGCGCUUGAGAGAACUCUGCUGAAGGAACUAGGCAAAAUGGUACCGUAACUUCGGGAGAAGGUACGCUGUUGACGGUGAUGGGACUUGCUCCCUGAGCGGUUGACAGCCGCAGAAACCAGGCCGCUGCAACUGUUUAUUAAAAACAUAGCACUCUGCAAACACGAAAGUGGACGUAUAGGGUGUGAUGCCUGCCCGGUGCUGGAAGGUUAAUUGAUGGGGUUAGCGUAAGCGAAGCUCUUGAUCGAAGCCCCAGUAAACGGCGGCCGUAACUAUAACGGUCCUAAGGUAGCGAAAUUCCUUGUCGGGUAAGUUCCGACCUGCACGAAUGGCAUAAUGAUGGCGGCGCUGUCUCCAGCAGAGGCUCAGUGAAAUCGAAAUCGCUGUGAAGAUGCAGUGUACCCGCGGCUAGACGGAAAGACCCCGUGAACCUUUACUGCAGCUUGACAUUGAACUUUGACCUUACUUGUGUAGGAUAGGUGGGAGGCUUUGAAGUUGGAACGCCAGUUCCAAUGGAGCCGUCCUUGAAAUACCACCCUGGUAAUGUUGAGGUUCUAACUCUGUCCCGUGAUCCGGGACGAGGACCAUGUCUGGUGGGUAGUUUGACUGGGGCGGUCUCCUCCUAAAGAGUAACGGAGGAGUACGAAGGUGCGCUCAGCGUGGUCGGAAAUCACGCGUAGAGUAUAAAGGCAAAAGCGCGCUUAACUGCGAGACCCACAAGUCGAGCAGGUACGAAAGUAGGUCUUAGUGAUCCGGUGGUUCUGUAUGGAAGGGCCAUCGCUCAACGGAUAAAAGGUACUCUGGGGAUAACAGGCUGAUACCGCCCAAGAGUUCAUAUCGACGGCGGUGUUUGGCACCUCGAUGUCGGCUCAUCUCAUCCUGGGGCUGAAGCAGGUCCCAAGGGUAUGGCUGUUCGCCAUUUAAAGAGGUACGCGAGCUGGGUUUAGAACGUCGUGAGACAGUUCGGUCCCUAUCUACCGUGGGCGCUGGAAAUUUGAGAGGAUCUGCUCCUAGUACGAGAGGACCAGAGUGGACGAACCUCUGGUGUACCGGUUGUGACGCCAGUCGCAUCGCCGGGUAGCUAUGUUCGGAAAGGAUAACCGCUGAAAGCAUCUAAGCGGGAAGCCUACCUCAAGAUAAGAUUUCCCUAGGAAUUUAUUCCUCUAAAGAGCCGUUCGAGACUAGGACGUUGAUAGGUUGGGUGUGGAAGCAUAGCGAUAUGUGAAGCUGACCAAUACUAAUUGCUCGUGAGGCUUGACUAU